rnacentral:rRNA from 1 species
UACGUAGGGGGCAAGCGUUGUCCGGAAUCAUUGGGCGUAAAGCGCGCGUAGGCGGCCCAGUAAGUCCGUUGUGAAAGUCAAAGGCUCAACCUUUGAAAGCCGAUGGAUACUGCUGGGCUCGAGUCCGGAAGAGGCGAGUGGAAUUCCUGGUGUAGCGGUGAAAUGCGCAGAUAUCAGGAGGAACACCGGUGGCGAAGGCGGGUCUCUGGGCCGAUACUGACGCUGAGGAGCGAAAGCGUGGGGAGCAAACAGG